rnacentral:misc_RNA from 1 species
GAUGAAGAACGCAGCGAAAUGCGAUAAGUAAUGUGAAUUGCAGAAUUCAGUGAAUCAUCGAAUCUUUGAACGCACAUUGCGCCCCUUGGUAUUCCGGGGGGCAUGCCUGUUCGAGCGUCAUUACAACCCUCAAGCUCUGCUUGGUCUUGGCGUCACCGGUCCCCGGUGUGCCUUAAAAUCAGUGGCGGCGCCAUCUGGCUCUAAGCGUAGUACAUACUCUCGCUACAGACGUCCGGUGGAUGCUGGCCAGCAACCCCCAAUUUAUCAAGGUUGACCUCGGAUCAGGUAGGGAUACCCGCUGAACUUAAGCAUAUCAAUAAGCGGAGGA